UGGCGGCAUCGCCGCCAUGAUGCUAACCCGCGAACACUUUUAUGUGCAUAUUGAGGAACCGCAUCGGAAGGUGCGUGUUAGCUUGUCUUGCUCCUAGUAAUACCCUCGAGUCGUGGGGUUGAGCACGUUAGCUUGCUUUCGCAAACGACUUUCGUCGCGAUGGUCUUCGACUAGGAUCCGAUUGGACCUAGAACGGGCCAUGGCGACAGAUUGCAAAAGCACCUCCCCUUGGGUCCCCCGGAUGCUCUCGGGACUCCCGAGUUCAUCCAAUGGGUGUGGCUGGAGGGCAACCUCGACAACCCAAACAAAAACAUGCAACCCCUUUUUUGAACCGAUCACCCUGAUCGUAUUGAAAACCGUGGCCAUUGCAGCCCGCGUUUCAAAAUAUAACUAAACAACUCUCAACAACGGAUAUCUUGGCUCUCGCAACGAUGAAGAACGCAGCGAAAUGCGAUACGUAGUGUGAAUUGCAGAAUUCCGUGAAUCAUCGAAUGUUUGAACGCAAAUUGCGCCCGAGGCUUCGGCCGAGGGCAUGUCUGCUUGAGCGCCGCUGGACACCCCUCGUUCCACCUUCUCGGUCUCCUAUUACGGUGAUGAGAGGAGGAGGACGGAAUGAUGGUCGCCUCGGACCCAUGAGAUGGAACGGCGGUGCAAGCCCUUUUCCCCUCAUCGAGCCGGCUGGAAAGAAAGAGCUCGGCCCGGUUCGUACCGUUACGGCACACCCGGCGUGGACGAAGCAACCUCGUUGACCCCUGUCACAGGGGCGUCGCGAGAGAAGCGGAUGUUGCCCGGAUGUCGUCUGCGUGCGCAAUUGCGCGUCGAGAAUCGAGCUGUGCCAACGGGCGUGUCUUGCACACGCUCGUGGAACCCCAACCCCUUGGCCU
rnacentral:misc_RNA from 1 species